AACUUAAAUGAAUUGACGGGGGCCCGGCACAAGCGGAGGAACAUGUGGUUUAAUUCGAUGAUACGCGAGGAACCUUACCUGGGCUUAAAUGGGGAGUGACAGCUGUCGAAAGAUGGUUUUCUUCGGACACUCUUCAAGGUGCUGCAUGGUUGUCGUCAGCUCGUGCCGUGAGGUGUCGGGUUAAGUCCCAUAACGAGCGCAACCCUUACCGUUAGUUACCAUCAGGUUAAGCUGGGGACUCUAGCGGGACUGCCACCGUAAGGUGAGAGGAAGGUGGGGAUGACGUCAAAUCAGCACGGCCCUUAUGUCCAGGGCUACACACGUGUUACAAUGGCCGGUACAAAGGGCAGCUACUUCGCGAGAAGAUGCUAAUCUCGAAAGCCGGUCUCAGUUCGGAUCGAAGUCUGCAACCCGACUUCGUGAAGCUGGAUUCGCUAGUAAUCGCGCAUCAGCCAUGGCGCGGUGAAUACGUUCCCGGGCCUU
rnacentral:rRNA from 1 species